GAAUGACGGUUCGAGCAGGUGCGAAAGCAGGUCAUAGUGAUCCGGUGGUUCUGUAUGGAAGGGCCAUCGCUCAACGGAUAAAAGGUACUCCGGGGAUAACAGGCUGAUACCGCCCAAGAGUUCAUAUCGACGGCGGUGUUUGGCACCUCGAUGUCGGCUCAUCACAUCCUGGGGCUGAAGUCGGUCCCAAGGGUAUGGCUGUUCGCCAUUUAAAGUGGUACGCGAGCUGGGUUUAGAACGUCGUGAGACAGUUCGGUCCCUAUCUGCCGUGGGCGUUGGAAGAUUGAAGGGGGCUGCUCCUAGUACGAGAGGACCGGAGUGGACGAACCUCUGGUGUUCGGGUUGUGUCGCCAGACGCAUUGCCCGGUAGCUAAGUUCGGAAUUGAUAAGCGCUGAAAGCAUCUAAGCGCGAAGCGAGCCCUGAGAUGAGUCUUCCCUGACAGUUUAACUGUCCUAAAGGGUUGUUCGAGACUAGAACGUUGAUAGGCAGGGUGUGUAAGCGUUGUGAGGCGUUGAGCUAACCUGUACUAAUUGCCCGUGAGGCU
rnacentral:rRNA from 1 species